AAUUCUCAAUGUGGCUGUCCUUUUCUUUUUAUUUUGCAGAAUGUAAAACAUUUAUAGUUUGAUUGUGGGUAAUUGCAAAGUUGUACUGUACAUUAAUUUGCAAAAUGCAAACAUAUUGUUCAGGAAGAGUACAUGGUUUGUCAAAGGGCACAUGUGGCAUAACGGAUUUGGCUAUGCUGCACAUAGUUUUUGCUAAUAGGUUCCUGAUGCAGGUCUGGCUUGGACACAAGUAUUUUUUUUCAAAUAGGUUCCUGAAUAU
rnacentral:lncRNA from 1 species